rnacentral:lncRNA from 1 species
GAGUCAAAGAGGAGAAGGCGUCGAUCAACAUCUAAGAAAAGCAGUCCUAGAGAAAAUUCAAUUAGAAGCUGCAAGAGAGAAAAGCCUCAAGAAACCCAUGCAGAAGAAAAACCUCAAAAAACCCAUGCAGAAGAAAAACCUGUAGGAAGUGGUUUAAAAGCAAUUCCUCCGAAGAGCCUGGCAGAAGAACAUCCUCAGAAGAGCUGUGUGAAGAAAAAGCUUACAAAUAGUCAAAGAAAAGAGGAGGCAAUCAGCAUUGAAGAACAGGAGAAAAUUGCGGCUAU